rnacentral:rRNA from 1 species
AUUGAACGCUGGCGGCAGGCCUAACACAUGCAAGUCGAGCGGAUGAAGGGAGCUUGCUCCUGGAUUCAGCGGCGGACGGGUGAGUAAUGCCUAGGAAUCUGCCUGGUAGUGGGGGAUAACGUCCGGAAACGGGCGCUAAUACCGCAUACGUCCUGAGGGAGAAAGUGGGGGAUCUUCGGACCUCACGCUAUCAGAUGAGCCUAGGUCGGAUUAGCUAGUUGGUUGGGUAAAGGCCUACCAAGGCGACGAUCCGUAACUGGUCUGAGUGGAUGAUCAGUCACACUGGAACUGAGACACGGUCAAGACUCCUACGGGAGGCAGCAGUGGGGAAUAUUGGACAAUGGGCGAAAACCUGAUCCAGCCAUGCCGAGUGUGUGAAGAAGGUCUUCGGAUUGUAAAGCACUUUAAGUUGGGAGGAAGGGCAGUAAGUUAAUACCUUGCUGUUUUGACGUUACCAACAGAAUAAGCACCGGCUAACUUCGUG